GACGAACGCUGGCGGCGUGCUUAACACAUGCAAGUCGAACGGUGAAGCGCCUUCCUUUUUGGUGGGUGUGGAUGAGUGGCGAACGGGUGAGUAACACGUGAGUAACCUGCCCCCUUCUUCUGGAUAACCGCAUGAAAGUGUGGCUAAUACGGGAUAUUCUGGGUCUGUCGCAUGAUGGGUCUGGGAAAGAUAUUGUUUCGGUGGGGGAUGGGCUCGCGGCCUAUCAGCUUGUUGGUGGGGUGAUGGCCUACCAAGGCGGUGACGGGUAGCCGGCCUGAGAGGGUGGACGGUCACACUGGGACUGAGACACGGCCCAGACUCCUACGGGAGGCAGCAGUGGGGAAUAUUGCACAAUGGGCGCAAGCCUGAUGCAGCGACGCCGCGUGAGGGAUGGAGGCCUUCGGGUUGUGAACCUCUUUCGCCAGUGAAGCAGGACUGCCUCGUGUGUGGGUGGGUUGACGGUAGCUGGAGAAGAAGCGCCGGCUAACUACGUG
rnacentral:rRNA from 1 species